GGAACUUGGCAGCUUUCUUAGUAUCUGCAACAGCUCUCUCCACAAAGCCCACCGACUGGUCCAUGUUGCUCUCAAUCCUGUCAAUCAUCCCGCCCUGACGGGCACGCAGCCAGAGGCGGCAGCAGACGGAAACGAGUGACGGCAGAGAGGAGGAAGCAUGCAGAGAGCUUACACAUUAUUCUAACGGUUGUGUGUAAGUAGUAAUGGCAGUGAGGCGAUUAGAAGAGCGAUAUGCAGGGCAUGCAAAGAAAGCAAAGUGAAAA